rnacentral:rRNA from 1 species
CGCAUCUGUGCAUGCAGCAUAUCAAUAAGCGGAGGAAAGAGGUCUACUACCUACGCUUAGGAUGUUGACACACGCGCGUGCUCGACUCUAUACAUGACUCUGUGCAUAUCAAUAAGCGGAGGAAAAGAAACUAACAAGGAUUCCCCUAGUAACGGCGAGUGAAGCGGGAAGAGCUCAAAUUUGAAAUCUUAAAGGGUUUCCCUUUACGAAUUGUAGUUUAAAGAAGUGUUUUCUGUUGAGGUUUUGGUAAAAGUUCUUUGGAAUAGGACAUCAUAGAGGGUGAGAAUCCCGUAUUUGACCUUUACUUUCAACUUUGUGAUACACUUUCAAAGAGUCGGAUUGUUUGGGAAUGCAGUCCAAAAUGGGUGGUAAAUUUCAUCUAAAGCUAAAUAUUGGCGAGAGACCGAUAGCGAACAAGUACCGUGAGGGAAAGAUGAAAAGAACUUUGAAAAGAGAGUUAAACAGUACGUGAAAUUGUCAAAAGGGAAGCGUUUGACACCAGUGUUGUUUUUCUGAAAAUCAAUUAAAGAACUGUUUAUGCUAAGUUGUUUAGACUUUAUCAGCUAACUGUUUAGUUUUGAGCUUUUCUUUAAUGCACUUUUCAGUUAACAAGUCAACAUCAAUUUCUUUUGCUGUAAAAAAGCUUGAGGAAGGUGGCUUGAGAUUCGUCUUAAGUGUUUAUAGCCUCUUGCCUAUGCAGUCGGAGAGAUUGAGGUCUGCAGCGUAGAUCCUUCGGGGCUAAAUGCAUUUGUGCUAAGUUAUAACAUUUUAUAGACAACUUGUUGACUAUGAUUUGUCUUGUAGCUUACUCGCUUAUGUUAUUUUACCUACGCUUAGGAUGUUGAACGCGCACAGAGUCUC